rnacentral:misc_RNA from 1 species
CGGAUAUGGAGAGGCCUUUUGCAAUUUACCCCAAUUGUUUGGUGUAUGAAAUGGUACUGUCCUUGUGAUUUUUAAUCUGCAAGUACUUCAUUAUCCCAACAGAAACAGAAUUUCCAGAAAGGAUGUCAAUGAGAAGAUAAUCUUUCCUAGCAACAGAGUUUAUGAUCUUAACAGUUGCAUUGUCCUAAAAUUAAUUGUCUAGUUAAAAAUUACACAACAGUGAACCCCCAAGACAAAACCUCACCACACCAAAAACUGAGGUGGAAGAGAAGGGACUGAAAAAAUGAGCAGAUAAACCUUGAAAAUGAGAUAGAAUGACAAAAACAAUUGAAAUUUUUCCUAUUCUUUAAUGCACAUAGCAAAAUUAACAUUUUAACCAUCUUUAAUGAAGCUAGUCAGCUACUAAUCUUCUGCAGUUACUGAACCACCUAACAUUGCGCAAAAAUGAAUAGACCUUCGAUGUCAAAGCAAGAUUAGAGCGAGAAGCACUGCAGUUAAUAGAGACUGAAAUAUUGAAGCUUGGAAGCUCGAACUUGAACUCCCUCCUUCAGGACUUAUGGGUCCAGGUGACACUGGUGGAAAAUUUGCCCCACUUGUGCUUGAAUUUGUACUAUUUCAACAUGAACACAAAUUUAGAGUCACCAAAAUAAGUGAAUGAUUGUGAACUUAAUUUUCUAGAAGGAAAUGAAUUAACCAUGAGCAGAUUUAGAUUCUCACCUUCCGGUAAAGACGCAGGAUCCAUAACCUGCAAAACACCAACAUUGGUGAAGAUGGCAAUAUGAAGAAAAAAACAUAUAUACUAGAAAAUAUCAACUGUCAUAAAAACGCUUGAUUGGGAAAAAAUGAUGUCCUUAAUUAUUUUCACUUCUUGACCAAGAACUGCAGGAAAUGGAAGAGAUGCCAGGCAAAAACAGUGUUCAGGCCUUCUAGAAACUUGAACCAAAAUAAAACUUAAAUAUAAUUGUAUGGAAUUUUGCAGGUUAAUGCAGUUUGGAGAACUUCCCUUGCUUCAUGAGUGUACAAACUUUUAAUUGAGAUUUUUUUCGUAAUGUGAUCCUAGGAAGCAGUGAGCAGAUUACUCAUCAGAUGUAUUGCAUUUUCACAUUCGCAAAAAACUGGUGAACUUUCCUUGCUUCAUGAUUAUACCAUCUUUAGAUAAGAUUUUUGACUAAAAUGAUCCCAGUAACUUCUGAUGAGCAGCAAUGCAGCAAUGCAUAUCCACACAUAUCAUAUGAACCAAAAUAUUUGACUUAAAUAGCAUUAGAACCCAUUACAAACAAAUAAAUUAUGUGCAUAAAGUAACUAGUUUAUCAGAGAACAGUAACAUAAUGUUUGCCAAGACAACAAAAUGGUAAGAGCCACUUGAAUUCAGAGUUCAUUAAUCAAGCAGUCUAUGGAAAAAAACGAACUAUAUUCUAGUUUCCUUCAUCGAAAGAGCAGAAUAGAAGAACUUACUGGGAUCCACUGUAGUUGUUGUGGCAGUACCAUCAAAGUCGCAUGUUCCGCCAGCACUAUGCAUUUUUUGAAAAUAAUCAUUAUAAGCAUAAGAUGCAUGGUUCUGGUAAGUAUCAGGAAUAUAACAAGGCUGCCCUUGUUGGAUAGCAGUGCAGUUAGCUCCACCUUGGCCACAAGCCCAAUUCAGCCCUUCUUGCAACUUUCCAGAAUCUACAUUUUGUUUAACAACACAGUAGGUGACAGAAGAAUUUCCAGUGAUUCGAUUGGAACUACUCAAACUAAGAGUAUAAACUGCAGUGCCGUUGGUGAAAAAUAUGCCCCAGCUUUUCUCCGAUACUGGCCCUGGCCUCUUGUCUUCAUUGAACAACUCAUAGAUGUAUGUAUUAAUGGGUAUGGUUGGCUGACUAGGUGGGCCUGAAUCAUUUAGAACAUGCCGGAUCAAAUUAUUAUUGAAGGUCUCAGCAUUUUCAACAGUGGCAUCAGGCUCAUUGGCUCCACCAAGCCAAGGCCAACCAGUCUCUGUAACAAUAAUGGGAAUCCCAGAAAUAUUGAAAGCAUCUAUGGCAUAAUAGGUAGCGUCCACCAUAGCAUCAAACAUGCUGUUAUAGUGAGAAAGAGUGUUGGGGUCAACAAUCUGCUUGACAGAGGGAAGUGGUCGGAAAAGAGCAUAAUCAAUUGGGAAAAUUCCAUUUCCAGUGGUGUACCCAUAAUAAGGAUAGGCAUUUAACAUGUAAUAUGAGUUGGUGUUCUUCAAAAACUGAAGGAGCUGAUAAAUUGUAGAAUUCCAAGUAGAAUUAAAAGUGGCAGUUGAUGGUGGGAAAGGCCUAGGGAUAACAUCCAAGGAUUGGGGAGUUGAAACUUUUACUUGAAAAUUUAAAUUUGAAGCAACUAGGGCUUUAUGAAGGUAAUUCAUGGCAGGAACCAGAACAGCAGCAGCAUUAGGAAUUGACGUAAGAACCUCACUGCCAACUGCAAUUGCUGUAAUGUUGGUCGAAGGUACAUAAGAAGCAACUUUUUUAUUAAUCCAUGCUGCAGCUGCUGCUGGAGAUUUCCCAAUCCCUAGGACUUCCUCAUUUGUGACACCAACCAUUACUUCAAUCCCAGUGUUAGCAAGGGCGUUCAACAUGUGAGCAUCAGUAUCAUAGAUGCGCACAUGAGUAAUUUUGUUGGCUUUGAGGAUUGCAACCACAUCUGAAGCUGAUGACAUGUUGGAAACAUCAGUUCCUAUGUUUACUCCUAUAAAUGCACCUAUUGCAUUGCUGAACAUGCCAACUAGGAGUAAAAUAAGACUUCCAAACCAUAUGUUGAGUACCAUUUGAUCCAAGAAACUUUUGCUUUUUAAUCCUUAGCUGGAGCUAAACUGAUCCAGCUUUGCCGAGCUGAAAGAGACCAAGAAUACAACCUGUAAGCAGCCUCCAAAGACUGAACAGAGCUCUAAAGAAGAACACACGGUAACAACUACUUAAAACAACACAACAAACAGAGAAGUGAGCCUCCAAUAAUAAGAAUCCAAAGCACAAUCUAGAGAGACUCCCGGAGCCCCACUAAAGUAAAAGGAAUUUAUUUGUAUGAGGAAAAACCACUGCAGCGGCAACACACUCGGUAGAGCUAAUACAAUCAGCAAUCUACCAUUAAAUACAACAAAAGUACUUUCAAACCAGACCCCACCAUAUGAAAAACUACAAAUAGAUAAAUUACAUAAUUAUUAGAAGGUUACAGAGAAGAGAAGCCUCUAAUGGUAGCUUUUCCUUCGUGGAUAGACCAACAAGAAUAAACCUUUGCAAAUAUUUGCCGUCUUUUGUUUGUCCUAUUUGGAACUUUCGAAUACCUUAAUACUGUAGGUUAAUGGGGGAAGAUCACAUUCAGAUCAUCACCGUUCAUUUGUAAUCAACUGUGUGAUUGCUGAUGAUGAGUAUUGAGUAUUAUUCUAUAGAGAAAACAUUGAGCCAUGAAAU